GAUGAACGCUGGCGGCGUGCCUAAUACAUGCAAGUCGAGCGAACGGACGAGAAGCUUGCUUCUCUGAUGUUAGCGGCGGACGGGUGAGUAACACGUGGAUAACCUACCUAUAAGACUGGGAUAACUUCGGGAAACCGUAGCUAAUACCGGAUAAUAUUUUGAACCGCAUGGUUCAAAAGUGAAAGACGGUCUUGCUGUCACUUAUAGAUGGAUCCGCGCUGCAUUAGCUAGUUGGUAAGGUAACGGCUUACCAAGGCAACGAUGCAUAGCCGACCUGAGAGAGUGAUCGGCCACACUGGAACUGAGACACGGUCCAGGCUCCUACGGGAGGCAGCAGUAGGGAAUCUUCCGCAAUGGGCGAAAGCCUGACGGAGCAACGCCGCGUGAGUGAUGAAGGUCUUCGGAUCGUAAAACUCUGUUAUUAGGGAAGAACAUAUGUGUAAGUAACUAUGCACAUCUUGACGGUACCUAAUCAGAAAGCCACGGCUAACUACGUG
rnacentral:rRNA from 1 species